rfam:Lupinus angustifolius cultivar Tanjil contig_39616, whole genome shotgun sequence.
GGUUUCAUGGUGUAGCUGGUUAUCACGUCAAUCUAACACAUUGGAGGUCUCCGGUUCAAAUCCGAGCGAAGCCA